GUAGGUGGCAAGCGUUGUCCGGAAUUAUUGGGCGUAAAGCGCGCGCAGGCGGUCCUUUAAGUCUGAUGUGAAAGCCCACGGCUCAACCGUGGAGGGUCAUUGGAAACUGGGGGACUUGAGUACAGAAGAGGAAAGCGGAAUUCCAAGUGUAGCGGUGAAAUGCGUAGAGAUUUGGAGGAACACCAGUGGCGAAGGCGGCUUUCUGGUCUGUAACUGACGCUGAGGCGCGAAAGCGUGGGGAGCAAACAGGGAUUAGAUACCCCGGUAGUCCACGCCGUAAACGAUGAGUGCUAAGUGUUAGGGGGUUUCCCGCCCCCCUUAGUGCUGCAGCUAACGCAUUAAGCACUCCGCCUGGGGGAGUACGGCCGCAAGGCUG
rnacentral:rRNA from 1 species